rnacentral:lncRNA from 1 species
GUGAGUUUUGCACAUGCAAAUUAACCAAUAAGUUUUGGCCACAAUUGAGCCCAAUGACUAACAACUCAUUAUUUAAGAAACAAUCAAGUCAAAAGCUGUUGGGAGUUGAUAUUUUUUGAGAUAAGGAUUUUCACAUGAGCUCCACCAGUUCACCGCCACCAACAAUCCUUUAUCUACUUUAAUUCCGUUUCCCAGCAGCCAAACAAUGCCUUUUACCGGCUAAAUCUAGCCAAAGACACAUACACAACGCCUCACAACCUCUUCUUCUUCCUUGCUGCCUCCGACCACCUCCACAAAACAGCCACCGGAAAUGAACCUUGAACCACUAGACCUACCUCUGUCUCCUCCAAAAAACAUCAUAGACCUCCAUCUAAAACCACCAAGAGACCCACAAAGCGAGCAGAAGCUCCAAACGACCCCAUUCCCACUUUUGUCUGAAACACUUCAAUAGCAAAUGGAGCCAGCAAGAUUCGAUCUCUGAGCUCUAUUUCCGGCAAGCUCCUAGCUUACGGAAUAACAACCAAGACCAGCAGCUCAACAGCAAACCAGAAACCCCCAAAACCACCAGAAAAUCCAUCAACACCAAGCUCCUUCCCUUCCACUUUCUCCCUUUUAUGUGAUUUUCAUUUGUUUAGCAGCGAUUCCGGCAGCAACAAUGACAACUCCGGCGAAUAAUAGUUCAAAUCAGCCUCCAGCGAGCUCCAAAGGCGAACAACAGAGCCAAACAACUCAACUCCGGUGAAAUUUGGUCUUUGAUGGUUUUGUGUAAGUGGUGAUGGCUAGAGGAUAUUUCUUAGAAUGAAGACGUUGGAUAGCUAUUCCCAAGUUCAAGUGCCCUUAUGAUUCAAGGACCUUCAUGUCAAAGAAGUUAUUUAUGUUCAUGCAGUAGUAGCGAUUAAACUUCAUGUUGUUAAGGGUCUUGUACCUAUUAUAUUCUAUUGAUGUUGAGUCUAAGAUGGAAAAAUGAGACUUAGUGUCUAAACUAUGUAUUUAUGAUGUUAUAUAUGAAGUGAUAUUCUAGUAUGCUAUAAAAAAAUUUAAAUUUUUAAUGCGAUGAAAAAUGUCUAUGGGCUUGUCGAAGACUUUCGAGAGGUUGACGAUGCUGGUUACUACUAGGGGGUGCUCCUCGAUCGUGACACAAAUAAUGGUAAA